AUGACUUAAUUGGUCAGGGGUGAGGCUUGAGCUUUAAUUGUUUUUCAAAAUGUCCCAGGUGAUUUUAAUGAGCAGCCAGGCUUGCCUGCUCUGACUUUUAGGAUUAAUUCCAGACUCCUGAGUGUGGUUUAAAAGGCCCUUCGUAACCUGGCUUGCCCCUCUGGUCUCGUCCUCCCAACCCACGCUCAUUUCCUCUGCUCCGAGAUACAGAACGCACCAGGCGACACUGUCUUUAAGCUUGGAAUGUUCCUCCUUUCCAUCUGCCUGGCAAAUGUUGAGUCAUCCUUUAAGUCUAGGCUGAAGGAUGUUCUUCCCUAAGAAGCAUUCCAGAUUCUUGCUUACAUAUCACAUUUAAAGGCCCUGGCCGAUUAUCCAAGCUCCUGUAUAGCCCAUGCCUGCCACCAUCUUUGUGUUUGGGGAUUGGAGGUGGCAUUUAAAAAUGCCAUCAUGAAGCUGGGAGUGGUGUUUCACGCCUGUAAUCCUAGCACUUCAGGAGGCCGAGGCGGGCAGAUCUCUUGAGGUCAGGAGUUCGAGACCAGACUGGCCAACAUGGCGAAACCCCGUCGCUACUAAAAUUGCAAAAAUUAGCCAGGUGUGGUGGCGCAUGCCUGUAAUCCCAGCUACUUGGGAUGCUGAGACAGGAGAAUUGCUUGAAUCCCGGAGGCAGAGGCGCAGAGAUCGCACCAUUGCACUCCAGCCUGGGUGACGAGUGAAACUGUCUCAAAAAAAAAAAAAAAAAAAAAAAAAAAGCUAUUGUGUGAUAUUUAAUACAUUAAAAAGGCAUAAACAAUAAAACAAAUGCCUAUGUUCCCACCACCCAGCUUAAAAAGUAAAACUUGACCAAUCAUUUGAAAUGUGUGUUCCUAAUUGCAUCCCCACCAAGGCUAGCCCUGGACUGAAUUUGGAGGUUAUCAUUCUCAUGCAUUUCUGAACAUUUGACCUACGUAUGUAGAACCACAUAGAGCAAGAUAGCAUCUUAAAUUGCAUUUGUUUAAACUUAUAUAUGUAUAUAACUUUCUACAGCUUGUUUUUUUCUUCUUGAUGUUAUUUCCAUGCGAUCCUUCCAUAUUGAUAUGUGUAGCUCUGCUUCACUCUUCUUGCUAUUGGGUUUUAUUCUGUUGUUCUUGUUUCUCUUGUUGUGGCUUAUUUUAUUUAUUUAUUUUUUGUGUUUUUUUUUUUUUGUGAGACAGAGUCUUGCUCUGUCACCCAGGCUGGAGUGCAGUGGAGCAAUCUCGGGUCUCUGCAACCUCCGCCUCCCAUGCUCAAGUGAUCCUCCCACCUCAGCCUCCUGAGCAGCUGGGACUACAGUGGCUGCUAGAACUAAAUGGCACCGCUCCCGUCCAAGCCUCGGAAUGAUGCCUGCCGUAUAAAAGUACUCUCACCAGUGACUCUUAUUCUUUUUCCAUCUGCAUGACUGCCAGGAAAACCAAGCUGAGAACUAAGGUCAGAACGACAUGCUGUGCUCAAAAAUCUCAGGCGAAAUGUCAGAGCAACAACGCCAAGUAUUUUCCGGUACAUUAGAAUGAAAAUCAGUUUAAAAAACUACCGAUUAUUGUAUUCAUCUGUUAAAAUAAAUUAAGUCAUCUAUCCACUUAGAUAAAUCAUUCAAUUCUUUCCCAAACCAUUUAUCUUGGAGGUAUCUUUUUAACUUACAAGAUUUUCAAUUUUCAGGCUCCUACAGAUGGAACAAGGUUAGUGCAUGACUAGAGCAACUUACAAGGCAAAUAUAGCAUUAACAUGGCUGUGACUAAUGAUGACAAUAUGUGCCACCACCUCAUCACCAGGAAUCUGAGCCAGCCAUGGCACCUUCUGGAUUUUCUUGGCCCGCUUAUUUGGCCCCAGUUUGUCAGAAUGUUCCCUGUCAACAUCACCAAGUGUUGUAGCAAAACACAAUCAAUUUCAAAAUGGGACUUGAAGAAGAUGGCUAGUAAAUCAAUUGGAUUUGUAUUCUCUCGCUAUUUCAUUAAGUAUCCAGACAUCUAAUCCCAU
rnacentral:lncRNA from 10 species